AGAGUUUGAUCCUGGCUCAGAACGUACGCUGGCGGCACGCCUAACACAUGCAAGUCGAACGAAGUAGCAAUACUUAGUGGCAGACGGGUGAGUAACAUGUAGGUAUCUGCCCUUUGGCCUGGAAUAACACGAGGAAACUUGUGCUAAUACCGGAUAAGUCUUUACGGAGAAAGCUUUAUGCACCAUUGGAUGAGCCUGCACUUGAUUAGUUUGUUGGUAGGGUAAUGGCCUACCAAGACUGUGAUCAAUAGCUGAUUUGAGAGGAUGAUCAGCCACAUUGGGACUGAGACACGGCCCAAACUCCUACGGGAGGCAGCAGUGGGGAAUCUUGCACAAUGGAGGAAACUCUGAUGCAGCGAUGCCGCGUGAGUGAAGAAGGCCUUUGGGUUGUAAAGCUCUUUCGUCGGGGAAGAAAAUGACUGUACCCGAAUAAGAAGGUCCGGCUAACUUCGUGCCAGCAGCCGCGGUAAUACGAAGGGACCUAGCGUAGUUCGGAAUUACUGGGCUUAAAGAGUUCGUAGGUGGUUGAAAAAGUUGGUGGUGAAAUCCCAGAGCUUAACUCUGGAACUGCCAUCAAAACUUUUCAGCUAGAGUGUGAUAGAGGAAAGCAGAAUUUCUAGUGUAGAGGUGAAAUUCGUAGAUAUUAGAAAGAAUACCAAUUGCGAAGGCAGCUUUCUGGAUCAUUACUGACACUGAGGAACGAAAGCAUGGGUAGCGAAGAGGAUUAGAUACCCUCGUAGUCCAUGCCGUAAACGAUGUGUGUUAGACGUUGGAAAUUUAUUUUCAGUGUCGCAGCGAAAGCGAUAAACACACCGCCUGGGGAGUACGACCGCAAGGUUAAAACUCAAAUGAAUUGACGGGGACCCGCACAAGUAGUGGAGCAUGUGGUUUAAUUCGAAGAUACGCGCAGAACCUUACCAACACUUGACAUGUUCGUCGCGACUCUAAGAGAUUAGAGUUUUCGGUUCGGCCGGACGAAACACAGGUGCUGCAUGGCUGUCGUCAGCUCGUGUCGUGAGAUGUUGGGUUAAGUCCCGCAACGAGCGCAACCCUCACUUUUAGUUGCCAUCAUUAAGUUGGGCACUCUGAAAGAACUGCCAGUGAUAAGCUGGAGGAAGGUGGGGAUGACGUCAAGUCCUCAUGGCCCUUACGUGUUGGGCUACACACGUGCUACAAUGGUAUCUACAACAGGAAGCAAGACUGCGAGGUCAAGCAAAUCCUUAAAAGAUACCUCAGUUCGGAUUGCACUCUGCAACUCGAGUGCAUGAAGCUGGAAUUACUAGUAAUCGUGGAUCAGCGUGCCACGGUGAAUGCGUUCCCGGGUCUUGUACACACCGCCCGU
rnacentral:rRNA from 1 species